rnacentral:rRNA from 1 species
GACGAACGCUGGCGGCGUGCUUAACACAUGCAAGUCGAACGGAAAGGCCCUGCUUUUGUGGGGUGCUCGAGUGGCGAACGGGUGAGUAACACGUGAGUAACCUGCCCUUGACUUUGGGAUAACUUCAGGAAACUGGAGCUAAUACCGGAUAGGAGCUCCUGCUGCAUGGUGGGGGUUGGAAAGUUUCGGCGGUUGGGGAUGGACUCGCGGCUUAUCAGCUUGUUGGCGGGGUAGUGGCUUACCAAGGCUUUGACGGGUAGCCGGCCUGAGAGGGUGACCGGCCACAUUGGGACUGAGAUACGGCCCAGACUCCUACGGGAGGCAGCAGUGGGGAAUAUUGCACAAUGGGCGGAAGCCUGAUGCAGCAACGCCGCGUGCGGGAUGACGGCCUUCGGGUUGUAAACCGCUUUCGCCUGUGACGAAGCGUGAGUGACGGUAAUGGGUAAAGAAGCACCGGCUAACUACGUG